rnacentral:tRNA from 2 species
CGGGAUGUAGCUCAGCCUGGCUAGAGCACCUGGUUUGGGACCAGGAAGUCGCAGGUUCAAAUCCUGUCAUCCCGACUA